rnacentral:misc_RNA from 1 species
CGCGCUCGUGCGUCGAACUGUCGGACCGCGGCCUCCUCAGUUCAGGCCCGCGUGCACGAUGUGCCUAGCGGUCAAAGGUCGGGUUCCUGUGUUGUGUGCCCACCCAAGGGGAAAUCGGAUUGUUUCUGACCGACAUUCGCCCGAUGCCCGUUCAGGGCAUGAGGUGAACGCCGUGGCGCCUCUCGUGUUCCACCCGGGUCGCUCUGAUCGCGGUGGCUCAUGGGAGGAGGCCUGUGCUUCGGGAUGCGGAAGGCCUUGUACCGCCGAGGGAUUGCGUCCCUCGGUCGACGAAGACCGUCCUUAAAAACGAGAACGACCUACGGCUCCCGUUUCCGACCCAAGGUGGGGCGGGCGUCGAGGUCACGGAGGAAUGC